UACAGAGGUGGCAAGCGUUGUUCGGAAUUACUGGGCGUAAAGGGCGCGUAGGCGGCCUUCUAAGUCAGACGUGAAAUCCCCCGGCUUAACCUGGGAACUGCGUCUGAUACUGGAAGGCUUGAGUGCGGGAGAGGGAUGUGGAAUUCCAGGUGUAGCGGUGAAAUGCGUAGAUAUCUGGAGGAACACCGGUGGCGAAGGCGGCAUCCUGGACCAUUACUGACGCUGAGGCGCGAAAGCUAGGGGAGCAAACGGG
rnacentral:rRNA from 1 species